ACUGCUCAGUAACACGUGGAUAACAUGCCCUAAGGUGGGGGAUAAUCUCGGGAAACUGAGGAUAAUACCCCAUAGAUCAUAGAUGCUGGAAUGCUCUUUGGUCGAAAACUCCGGUGCCUUAGGAUUGGUCUGCGGUCUAUCAGGCUGUAGUGGGUGUAAUGGACCCACUAGCCCGUGACGGAUAUGGGCCUUGAGAGAGGGUGCCCAGAGAUGGACUCUGAGACAUGAGUCCAGGCCCUACGGGGCGCAGCAGUCGCGAAAACUUCGCAAUGGGGGAAACCCCGACGAGGGAAUUCCAAGUGCCAGCACUCUGUGUUGGCUGUUCUUCUGUCUAAAAAACAGGAGAAGUAAGGGGCGGGUAAGACGGGUGCCAGCCGCCGCGGUAAUACCCGCGCCCCGAGUGGUGGUCGAUAUUAUUGAGCCUAAAACGUCCGUAGCCGGUCUUCUAAAUCCUUGGGUAAAUCGGGCAGCUUAACUGUCCGAAUUCCGGGGAGACUGGGAGACUUGGGACCGGGAGAGGUCAGAGGUACUUCUGGGGUAGGGGUAAAAUCCUGUAAUCCUGGAAGGACCACCGGUGGCGAAGGCGUCUGACUAGAACGGAUCCGACGGUGAGGGACGAAGCCCUGGGGCGCAAACGGGAUUAGAUACCCCGGUAGUCCAGGGUGUAAACGCUGCGGGCUUGGUGUUGGGGGUCCUUAGUGGGCGCCCAGUGCCGGAGAGAAGUUGUUAAGCCUGCUGCUUGGGGAGUAUGUCCGCAAGGAUGAAACUUAAAGGAAUUGGCGGGGGAGCAC
rnacentral:rRNA from 1 species